UUUCCACAGCGCGGGGGAACGGGAGGCUGCAGGAUGGUCAAGCUGACGGCGGAGCUGAUCGAGCAGGCGGCGCAGUACACCAACGCGGUGCGCGACCGGGAGCUGGACCUCCGGGGGUAUAAAAUUCCCGUCAUUGAAAAUCUAGGUGCUACGUUAGACCAGUUUGAUGCUAUUGAUUUUUCUGACAAUGAGAUCAGGAAACUGGAUGGUUUUCCUUUGUUGAGAAGACUGAAAACAUUGUUAGUGAACAACAACAGAAUAUGCCGUAUAGGUGAGGGACUUGAUCAGGCUCUGCCCUGUCUGACAGAACUCAUUCUCACCAAUAAUAGUCUCGUGGAACUGCUAUACUAUUCCUUGUCCCUGCAAAUUUUAUUUAAAGAGAUUUUCAGGGGCAGCUAGGAUAAAUGUACCUUCUUUCAAAAGACAGUAUACCUUUGUUGUUCUUAGACGCUGAAGCUGGCGCUAG
rnacentral:lncRNA from 1 species